ncrna:unclassified sequences type-P1 twister ribozyme
CCUUUAAUGCAGGUCGCUUGAUAGCGCAACGGUCCACACCCCGUAUGAAUGCAGAUGGAAGG